GACCCGUCUUGAAACACGGACCAAGGAGUCUAUCUAAUGUGCAAGUAAAUGGGUAGCUUAUGAAAUCUAUUUGCACAACAAACAUGACUGUUUUACAUGGGAAUACGAGAAUAGAUGCGCAAGCGUUUAUCUCUUCCAUCCCGGGGUAUUUUCAUCAACAUAUGCUUGCAUAUGGAAAAUAUAUCAUGAGCACACUGGAUACGACCCGAAAGAUGGUGAACUAUGCCUGAUCAGGUUGAAGUCAGGGGAAACCCUGAUGGAGGACCGAAGCAGUUCUGACGUGCAAAUCGAUUGUCAGAAUUGGGCAUAGGGGCGAAAGACCAAUCGAACCAUCUAGUAGCUGGUUCCUUCCGAAGUUUCCCUCAGGAUAGCUGGUGCAUAGAAAAAUAAUUUUAUCAACUCAUACCUGGUAAAGCGAAUGAUUAGAGGCCUUAGGAACGAAAUGUUCUUAACCUAUUCUCAAACUUUAAAUGGGUAUGUAAGUUAACAUACUUGAUUGAUGUUGACCAUUUAGUGCAAAUUUUUUAUGAAUUUGUCAUGUAAGAUUGUAUGUGCCAAGUGGGCCAAGUUUUGGUAAGCAGAACUGGUGCUGCGGGAUGAACCGAACGCAUUGUUAAGGCGCCAAAAUAAACGACGCAUCAUCGAUACCAUGAAAGGUGUUGAUUGCUAAAGACAGCAGGUCGGUGGACAUGGAAGUUGUCAUCCGCUAAGGAGUGUGU
rnacentral:rRNA from 1 species